AAAUAAAAAGAGAGGGAGAAGGAAUUGUAAAAGGCGGCAAAAUGUUAAUGUUAUGUUAACCUAAAACUCUCUCUUCUCUGUCUCUCUUAUUUUCUUUAUUUUCUUUUCAAAUAAUAAUAGUGAUCAGAUGUAAAUAAAUAAAUUUUACAUCCAAAAUUCCUAAAUUCGCCGUGCUAAUCGAGUUAAACAGAGAUUAUUUAUCGAUUUUUUGGUUGAAAUCAAUUUCAAUUUUUAAUAGCAGCAAAUCAAUCCGGCGAACAUGGCGUUAGUGAGUGUCUGGUUGAUGAAAAUCUUCAGUUUUGGUUCGUAGGCGGAGGUAUUCGGUUUGAUGCAAGUGAAGUUGCGCAAUAAUAUAAUGAAGUCGGAAUAAAUGUGCGUUAUCAUUGAGGUAAUUACUCCGUAACUUCUAUGAAUUUAUAUAUGAAUGUGCAAAAUUGUUAUAGAACCAAUGUAUUAUUACUUGAAACUCUGAAGUCACUCUGAUAUUGGUUGAUUAAUGAAAUUGCUCAGUUUUGAGCAUGAACUUAAAUAAUCAUCAUAAAGCAUUUAUGAACUAUACAUCCCAUUUGCGAUGCUUUUUUUUAUGAUAUCACUUGAAAAUGUCUUUAUACUGAACUAAAAAUUUGGUUAGAGGAAAAAUAAUUGAAUGUACAACAAUGUGUUGGUGAUCUCUCUUCUUCACCAAGCCGCCUAUCAUUUUGUUGUUAGAAGGUUUGCUGGUUAGAACUUUCGCUAUUAUUCAUUCCCUUAUCAUGGCAUGCUUAUUGCUGUGUACCAUUCCCCGUCUUUACUAAUCUACUCGCUGGAAAAUGCAAUCUGGCCACAAGCGGACGAGGAGCUCUUUGUUUUUGUUCGAACCCUCUAACACAAACAAAUCCUGCACAUGAAAAUUUCUUUUAGCAACAAAAAGAAGCACGACUAAAAACUGCAUAAUAUUAAUUUAUACAUUAUAGUGUGGGAAACAGCCUAACUAGAUAGCACUACUCUUAUUUCUGGAGUUAGGCCGAGUUUAGAGUGAGGCCAUAUGAGGUGAUGUUUUUGGCUGUUACUUGUCAAUUUUGAAAGUCAUGCUAAAAGUCCUUGCAACUUGUUGAGCUUUUCAUUGCUAUAGUUGCAUUUGAAGUUCAUAAUUUGGACCAAUUUAUACAGUCUUUGAGAUCAGUUUACUGCAGCUUUAUUCCUUGUCCUUCAGUGCUCUAGCUAUAGCAUGUACAGCUGGGAACUUCAUGAUGACCUUAUAUUUUCUUUUUUGAUGUUUUGAACUUUUUUCAUAGCUUUAAUAUGAUAGUUUAGUUGUGGCUGCAUUCCAUUUUCUUUUGUUUAGGAUCUAUCUACUAGUUAAAAUUAGCAAAAUCUUAUACCUACUAAAAAAUUUCUAUGAACCAUGAAAAUUAUGAGACACAGACACGCCAUAUUGUUAUUUAAAUCUAGGACACAACAGCAAUAAUGAACAAAUAUAUUUAUAUAUUUUUAAACAUAAGACAGUUUAAAAAAAAUUUAAAAUAAGAAAACUAUUACAAUUCACAUAAAUGGUUUAAAUUAAUAAAUUGUCCUUGUUUGUGAAAUAAAAUAGUAAACGCACGUGUUUUACAUUAUCUUAAAAGUAAUAAUAUUAUUAGAUUAACUAGUUUUACACUUAAGGGCUACUUGACAAAUUGUUUGUAAGUUUUAAGGGUUCAAUUGCUACUUUGUCCGUUUAUAUACAAAAUCCUAGCUAUGUUGGUGCCGUUAUUGAUAAAUAAAAAAUAAUAAUAAAAAAAAAAUAUCGACAUCUAUACAUGCAUGUCAAAUACGCUUCUAAAUCAUGCUGGGUGUUUAUUGAUGUCAAGUAUUCGUCCAAGAAAGACACUUCAUCUUUUAAAAGUGUGCCUCCUAGAAAAAUAUUAUAAUCUUAGAAAAUAUUUUGAUUCUCUUGAAUUCGAAGGUCAUUACAACAUAUCAUGUCUAUUUCAUUCUCUCUUACCUACCAUAUGAUAAUAUUCUUUUAACCUCAUCUUCUUGAAGGCUCAAUGACAUGAAGUAUUGAAAUUUUAUUGGGUCAUUAAUAAUGAUUAUACAUGAAUUAGAUGAAGUUUUACUUAACAGAAACUCCGAUAUCCCACUUGCUUUCCCCUUAUUGCAUUUGGCUAUACAAACAGCAGCAUUUCUAAAUUUGCAUCGUUAGCACUUCAAUAUUAUCUCCUUCAUGGCUCAAUGACAUGAGAUACCAAUUUUUCGUGGUUGUCUGAUAAAAACAUACAUUAAUUUGUUUAAUUCCUACUUAGCAGAAAUUUUCUAGCUCAUCACUCGUGCUCAAACCUAUUUCAUCUCGUAAUAUAUACACUGGCAUUCUUUAAUUUUCCUUAGCUGGUCAAUAAAUAGCUUAAAAGACUGACAAGAUAACUUAAUUCCUACUGUAAACCAGUUACAAUAGGGAAUUUCUCAUCUCACCUGGAUGGCUCUUAUGGUAAAUGGUAAUUCUAAUUCCAACAUAAACUUUCCUGUUGCUGUAAUUUAAAAUGCUCAUCCUAAAUAUUCUUCACUAUGAAGUAUUGAAAUUUAAUGCAGUUGAAACUUCAUAUCUUUUAUGCUUUUCUCUACAUUUUUCUAUUUAAACCCUCCAUUACUUUUUUCCAAUUAUUCAUGUUUUUGUCAUAUGUAAUAGAUCUGAUCAACAGUCUCAACUCUCAAGCCAUAAAUCUAUCAUUUCUUCCAAUGUUUUAUAGUGCGGAUAGUAAGCCUGCAUGUUCCGUUCCUAACAAUCUGGUCCGUCUCCUGCUCCUGCUUGUCCCAUAAUUUUCCUAUUUCCAUACCUAAACAGUCUGGUCAGCUGGAUUGACCCAAUAUUGUCUACACACACUAAAAAGGAUUUAUAAGAUCUAGUUUCUUUUCCCACCAUUAAAACCUUCUAGCCUCUAGUUGAUCAACAGUUUGUGAAUCCUGCUUAUAAAUUUAGGUUCUAUCUCGGAUGGAAUAACUGAAUCGUCUCAAUUCUCCACCCGGCUAACUAUCUUUUACAACUUUAACUAAGUUAGAGCUCCCUACCUUUUUUCUUAGCCAGCUUGAAAUUAUUUUACUACCCUUUGUCUCAGAUUAUAAUGAACUUGUUGUAUGUUUUUAGCUUAGCAUCUUUUCUUCAACUUUAACUUCUUUACUCUACAAAUGUUCAGAUUUCUAUAUUUGAAUUUUUUUAUAACGAAAAGAUAAGCCUUCUGUUAUGUUGAAUUUAUUCUACAAUGAGGGCUACUUGGAAAAUCAUGACUUCAUGAGAAAGGAAUUUUUUAAACAUGAGAUUCAUGUUUAUUUGAAUUAAAAAUAAAAUAGUUGGAUGUCUUGUAAUUUUAUAUGUUUGAUACGCGAUGACUGAACUGAUCUACAUUAACUAAAAAAAUAAAAAAUUCUAAAACAUUGAAAUGUAUGCUGCUAUGAGAUUAUGUAGUGAACCAGCAGUUUGUCCUACAUGCGAUGCUAUGUCUACUGCAAAUGGCAGUACAUUAAUAUGCAUGUCAUAGAUUUUCAUAAGUGUCAUUUUAUUGGGUAUUCUUCCACUAUUAUGGCGACUGCAUUAUUUGAGAAGCCGAUCAUGUAUCAGUUUAAGGUACUCCUUAUAUUACGUAAACAAAAGGAUAUGGUGUUUACUUUCAUGUUCUGGUUGUGGUGUGCAUGUACAUUUAAUUCUCUAUUGUAUCAUGAAAUUAAUUUGCUAAAUUGUAUCUUUAUGUAAUAAUUGAGGUAUACAUCUCAUGCUAUUAUGAGAGUAGAUUCUUGCUAAUAGACGAUAGAGUAAGUUGGUGUUCAUUAAGCUGAAAGAAACUCAACAAUGCACUAUGGUAUGUGUGCCAUAAGGCAUUAAUUAAUUGCAAUUAUAUGAUAACAUCGAAAAAUAAAAUUACUGCAGAAUACCUUUCCAAAAGCAGUACUGAAUGCCUUCCGUUGUAAGUCCUACCAGAAAUAAUUAUCACAUGAGUUAGUUUUUACCUUUUGAAUACAAUGAAAUUGGUUAUAAUAAUAGCUAAUAAGUCAAUAUUUAUUUACCUUUAAAUAUGGUGGAUACAGAGGUUCCAAAGUACACCAUUCGUCUUGGCAAAUUCCAAAUCCAUGUUCUCGGCACAUCAAUUGGGUUGAGACUGGAUUCAUGAUCCGCAAAGACCUGUAAAUUGCAAAUUGUUUGAUAAGCAUCUGUACUAGAAAUUUGACUUUUAUUCUUGUGCAUAAAUGGAAUAAUUGAAUUACUAGAGUUCUCAAAUCAGAGCAGAAGCCUUCGUUAAAAUUUUGCACGCACUGCAGUCUCCUUUCGUGAUUUACUUUUACACUUAAUUUGUAGGAUAAUAUCCUCAUAUCAAUUUGGUGUUGCAUCUAAAAGUAAUUGAUAGAAUGUCAUCAGUUUAUGCCUCUACAAGUUUAAUGAAAUCAUACUGCAGUAUUGAAAAGUUAGCAGUAGGUUCUCAAAGUCACAAGGUGUUAGUUUUUAUAAUACAUGCCAGGUUUCAGGGAGUCUCAAUGUCUUUUGACUAUAGGAAUAUACUUAUGUCAUUAAACAAGAUGACUCAGUGGAAGAUCUAUAUUUUAUUGAACUUCCGUUGUCCAACAAUGCAGAUAGUUAUGUCGUACAAUACAUUGGUUAACUUUGUAACUCGCAUUCACCAAUAACUAACUUAACUGCACAAUAAGGUUCCACUUAGAUAACCAGAGAAAUGUGUAGAAGUUACUUGGUAUUUACCUCAUUUACUUGAAAGUAUGUGCCAUUAAGGGGAAAGCUUCCUCGCAUUGCUGUUCUACAAGGUAUCUGCAUGUAAGCCAUGUGAUCUCUUAAGCAAAACUUGAUGUGGCCUGUGUUAAAAAUGUAUAGGUCUACUGAACUGUAUAUUCUCACCAGAAUUGUUCCUCUGACUGUUUGUGAAUUAGUUUCUCUGACACUAUUGCAUGAAAAGCAUGUCUUCUCGUUACAUAAUUUGUCUGAUCCUUGGAACUGGCAAUCUUGUUCUGGUAGCUGAAUUGAAUUUGCAGUUUCACCUAGUGACCAGAUUUUGUUUUGCAAAGUUAAUAAUUGAGGAGCAUGGGGCGUCUUUGAUUCAGAGGUGCAUGUACAAUAUUAUGCUCCUUUAUCAUACUAACAUACCUCGGAAACUGUAUGGUAGAUUUGGAAGAAGUAGCCAAAUAAAAUGUGGUAUCUUUUAUUCUAGUUUCACAUGCACAGAGACUGUCUAAUUUUAUGUUAUGCAAUAUUUGUUCUUGCUUACCUGGUGUCCAUAUUGCAAGAAGGUAUGGACUAGGAUCAUCAGGUUCUCUUUUAUCCAUCUGCAAAUUUGCCACUUGCAAUUAAGCAAAGGUUCUGGAAAGUGAAAUGAGAUUUUCAAAUGACUAAAUGAAAACUAACCCCUUCAAGGAGAGGAUGUGAAUCCGGAAGUUCAUACCUGCAUCACAUCAGGGAGGCAGGAGUUAGAGAAUAUGGGUAAAUCGCUGAUGCUUUUGCAUUUUAUUGUUAUUUGCUGCCUUAGGAUAUUGUUCUAGUUUAAAGCUUUUGCUCUUUUGUGGUGCUUCAUUGUUUUCUUUCUAACUAGCAACUACAAUUUCUUUAACUUAAAUAAAGGUUUUUUGAAGUACGAGCAUGAUAGAUUUAGUAUUAAAGAAUAACUUAAUGCUGAUGAUUUUGGUGGUUUUUAAAUAGAAAAAUCAUUAUAUCAAGCUGUAUGCAAUGACUCUUUUGCAAGCACUUGGCCAUUAGUUUGGGAAGAUAUUGCUUACACUUGGUGCUCUGUUCGUAGCCGACUGACAUUCUUCAGUUUGGGUGUGGGAAUGGAUGCAACUUCUGGAUUCAAAGCAACUAAAGCCUUUGACAUCUCACAUUCUUGGAGUUCCAUGUUUGCUUGCAUGUAAUUUUGCAGAUUCUCCGACAACUCUUUCAUGUUCAGUGUUAUUGUGGGUAUUUCAUCAGGAUCCUCGUCGAAUAAAUCCUCUAUAUCGCUUUCUAUGACUUGUGCAUGGUUUUGUUCCGGUGAUGCUGGCUCUUCAAUGAUAGGUACACAACUAACAAUACUGAUUUCUUUUCUUUCAUGGGAGUUGUCCUCUAUUGAAGGUAAAGGCAAGGGAUCAAUUACUAUUCCGGGACUUCUCUCUGCUGUCAAGGGAACAGUUGCAGUCACUAUACUUUUAUCUUCUGGUCCAGGAAGAGCAAGUCUUGCACUGACAUCAAAAAGAGGUCACAUUCAGUGUUUCUUUAUUUUGUGAUAAGUUCCAAUAUUUUAGUUACUUGACAAGAUCAUAAGCAAUAAAUAUAAUGAGUCAUGGGUUUCAGACUUCGAUAUUUUGACCCUUGAAUUUUCUUGGGCAUCAUAAUUUGAAAAAAUAAUCCAUAUGAAAUAUUUAUGUUUCAUAGCUACCAUAUGGAGGAAAAUAGAAAUAUUAGAUUGAGGGCUCACCUGGCAAAGGCACUAGCAAAAUGUCUGCAUUCUGCUCUCAGUGGACAUGCAUUGCAAUUUGGCCGACUUUUUGUACAGAAAACCUGCAUACAUGUUGAAGCUAAUGAGAAAAUGAUGUUUUUCUAUAAUGAUCCGACUUUUAAUGUUGUUGUGAUGGUUAUGAAGACAAAAUCAUAAACCAUUUAAUAUACCUUUCCAAAUGUAAUCAUCUGGUAAUGUAAUUCAUACCUGCAUUCUCAUCAAGCAGAAAAAUAUCAGCAAACUUUAUAAAUGAAUCAGAACUUUGCUUUUGCAUUUAUUUUCAUAAAAGUUGAAUAAAGCAACUAAAGAAAGCAUUAGGUGAUUACAAUGUUCUUUGAUCGAGUUUGCACAAUCUCGGCCAGAGGUAUUUUUGAAUUGACUCAAGUACUGGGUACCUAGAAGAAGAAUGUGAUCAGCUUCUUUAGCAAAUGGAAAAAUAUGGGGUUAUUUAGGUGGCAUAUGAAUGCGUACAGUUCUAAUAAGUGUAAUUGAAGUGACUCUGGCAAUGGUCGCAGAGGAACCCAUCCAAGACGAACUGCUAUCCUUCCAACGUUUGUGUCAACCUUCAUGAAAUUGUAGAUGAAUCAUUAGGAUUAUAAGGUUUUGAAGACUAUUUAAAGUUGCUCUUAUGACUCGAUAUGUGGCUCUCACAACUUACAGGAAAAGCAAGAUGAUGAAGUGUUAAGAGACGAACACAUUCCACGCUUUUCAAUCCUAGACCUCGUACACUUAGCAGAUAAUCCCUGCAGAAAAAUGAUAUUUUGAAAAUCGGAAUAUGAAUUCUUGGCAGAUGCAAUUUCUUUUGGUGCUUAACUAAAUCAAUGUGAUGAUAUUUAUAAUGCUAUUUAAGUAGAUGUAGUGACUUGAAAAUUUUAAGAAGAGCUAUAACAUUUAGAUGGCUUACUUUGCUUUUUCAGGGGGAACAUCUCUUAACCAUUCCAAGUCUGUGCUUCCAUGUUCUUUUACCAGCCGGUCUAGGAAUGCCUGAAAUUAAUUGCUAAUAUUGUUAUUGUAUUCAUGUAUAAAGGACUUGUUGAAGUACAAAUUUGCUUAUUAUUCCAUUUGAAGAUGGUGAAUUUCUUGCUAUCUAUUGUUAGAGAUUCAAUAAGAUUAUUUACCUUGAUUCGUUCUGCCAGCAUGUUGUUCAUUCCUCUUUCUUUAAUAACCUCAGCUAUUUCAUUGACAUUAGCAUUUCUCAUCGCUUCAUAGUCUAAGGAGUCCAUUGUCUCUUCGCUCCUCUCUUUUUUUAUACCAUUGCCCAGUGCUGUUCUCCUUAAACAGUCCCAGUCAACUGCAUCUUUUUUCUUGGUCUCAACCUUUUUUUUUCUUGCUACUGAAGAAUUUGAAUCCAAGUCUCCUUUGUUAGGAAAAUGUACUUCUUUCCUUGAUUGCGAUUCAAUAAAAUUACUGUCUGUGCCUCUGCCAUUAUUGUUCAUCAAAGAAGUGCUAUCUUCAAUAUCAAAAACUUCUGCUGUUAUGUUGGGAAUGUUUGAGGUUUGCUGCCCAAAAGUGCACUGUCUGUCAUCUUGUGCACCGGAACGAUUUAGAGACUUAGCGGAUGGUUCCCUUUCCAAUUGGAAGGUCUUGAUCAUUUCAUGUGGUUGACUGACAUGGUAUUGUUGAGGGUUAUCCUGUCCAUGCAUUAGUUGCUUGCUUGAAGGAGUAUGUGGAUCUGCUGUUGAAAUGUUUCGACACCCUUCGGACUCAUACUGUUGUGCUCUUGGUUUGUCUACAACAUAUGCCCCUUGUAAAUCCCUAUUGCUUGUGCAACUUGCAUCUUUUUCCUUGCUGAUUCUGGAGGUACUUGAAGGCCAAGAAGAUAUGCUUUCUUCUCUUUGCAGCUGUGAACUUUCUACUUGUUGGACCCCGGGCUGUGGACUUCUGUACAAUUGAGAGUUACUAGAUGGAACCACUUGCUUUUGCAAUUGCGAAAUAUUAUAAAUGUAUUGCUGGUUAAAUGUACUGGAGCUUCUCUGGUCAUUAAAUCUGUCCAACACUGGCCAUUGCUGCCUAUCUUCUAUUACUUCUGGUUGAUGAUGGCCAUACCUAGUUCCCUCGUGAGAAAGCAACGUCCCAUUGACACGACUGAAGAAGUCUUCAAAAGAAGUGGUGCUAUCCACUUGCUGAGGAUUUCUUAUAUUAUGAUACUUGUUGUGUUUGCACCCAUUUGCAGGAUCUUGUACUUCUGAGUUGGAACCUGAGUAGGAUCGGACUCCUCCAUUGCUUUGAACAACGGUGGAAUCAACAGAUUCUUGUGAUGAGAGGAUUUCUUCUUCAGGGCUGCGACUAUAUACCUCUAAUAUGCUUUCUCUUUCUGUCCAUGAGGUCUCAUGUCGCUGAUGUUCCAUUGAUUUUCUUGAUGUCUUAGAGAUCUGAUAGCUUAAAGGAUUUGACGAAUUUUCAUGCCAUUUGAUAGUGUCCUUUGGAUUUAUUAUGUACACCGGUUCUUGAACCAUUAUUAUUGGCCCUUUCUCACAGGUUCUGCUUUUCAUUGAUUUUGGAGGAUAUUUUGCAGCUAGAUGCAUGAAGGCAGAGCUGCACAAUGGACAAGUAGUCGAAGAUACUUAUAUUAUUAAUUAUAGUGCUCUUAAAAAUCCAGUUUUGACAUCAAUGUAAGCCUUUGCAUUUACCUUGAUAGAUGGUCCGAAACAUUUUGAGUUAGGAAGACUCCGAUCACUGAGUCGACAACUGAUCCCUUCCAUUUUGAGAACCGCCUAUCUCCUGCAAAGAGUCAUUCAAUCCAUAUAUGGAGUUGAUUGCUGAUUUUUCAAAACAUCCAACUGUUUGUGGUGCUGAUCUUUUAUGGAUGGAACUGAUAGUGAUUGAGUCAAAGCCAGUACCUGCUUUUCUGAUGCAUCAAUGUUGCAGUUUGGGGGUUUUAGUUGCUGCCCAAAUUGAGACAUUUGCGGGGGAGUUGGUGGGAACAUGUUACAAUUCUCUCCAAUUAUUUCUUUGUAUAAGCUGCUUGCAGGACAUCUCUGUUGUAUUGCCAAUUCUUGUCCAGAAGCGUAUCUGUUGGAAUUGUAAUUUCUUUGAAUGUACGCUCUCAAUAGCUCUCGGUUCCUUUCUACUGUGGAUGCAAGGUUUGAAGCUAAGAAAGGAGGUGAAAUGCCAUUCAUGUUCUUUUGGGUUCCAAUUUCAGCUUUCUGUUUCUUGUGAGUUUCUGAAUAUGCUGCACUGCAAAUGCUGCUAUUAAGGUGAUAAUCAUCUGUAUGAAGUCGCUCUCGGCAAAAUAAGUCACCCAGUGGAUUUUCAGUACUAUGCUUUGUUGGCUCUAAAUGAUGAUUUCCUCUCUUGUAUCCCUUGCCUUCAGCUGAUGGUCUGGUAACUGAUUCGGUACUAGGAGGCAUCACUGGUCCAUUGUUCUCAAGGCUUCUGCAAUUUAAUUUUGCCCAGUCAUUUUGCAGCAUACUCACAUUCAUACCUCUACCAGUGCCAAUUAAAUUGUUCAUUUGCCCAUCUUUUCUCGAAGGUAAUUGCAGGAAAGCUUCUCUUCCGUUGGAUAUAAAUUGGUUAUUUGACAUUCGAUUCAUGGAAGCAUUGCAGUUGCCUACUACUGAUUGCUGGAUUUCUGACAAUGAUCCAUUUUGUUGAUAUACCUGCAAUUCCGACGUUCUGUAUACCAUAUUAGUUUGUUGGCUUGAUUCUGCAGCUUGGUUACCUGUGUUUAAAUUGAACGUCUCUUUCCUCCUAUAUAGUAUAUCCUGCAGAGUGACUUUAUUCCUCCCCUUUUCACUGCACGUGUUUUCUGCUUCAAAAUUCAAUACUCUUUUACAUGAAGAUGCUGUAGUUCUAGCACUAGGAUCUGUACUCUCAGCGGUAUCAUCUGUAUUUUGAGUUUCUGGUUCUUUCAGAGUAUUCUUACGCACGUACUUCCUUUUUUCAUUUGGUUGCACAAUAUUAUCUCCAAUAGAAUCCGGAUGUGGAGAGGCUAGUUCUUGCUGGUUAUUCUUGCGCACAUACUUCCUCUUUUCUGUCGUUUUCUUAUUGGGAUCAGCUUUAUUUGUGGUUGUAGCCUUUGGAGUCCUUUUCGGUUUUCCUUCCACAAUUACUUUAGGCCUGUGCUUUCUUCUUUUUGGUGUUUUCUGCUGGGGUGUUUUAUUGAGGUCGAUAACUUGGUUACUUUCCUGACAAGAAUCUUUUGGUUCCUCGAAUGGUGAGGAAAUAACAGCAGAAGACGCAUCCACAGUAUUCUGCUGAUUUGGGACGUUGUCAACGGAAUCAACUAAAUUAUCUUGCACGUCUUUCUCUACAUUCAAGCUUUCUUGUGGGGAGUUUACAAGUGCGGACAACUGGUCCUCCAACUGCUUGGCCUGCUCAAACAUUGGUGUGAAUUGAAAUGUAUUGGUAUCAGCUUCUAUACUCGGUAGUGAAUUGGGAUCAUAGUUCGGAUUAUAUGGUGUGGGAAAUCCAUCUGAAAAGAAAGCUGUUCUAUGAGAGACUGUAAUAAAAUAACAUACCAAGCAUUCCUUGGGAAAGUAGCUUUUCUUUUUGUGGCAUUUACAACAUUUGGUAACAAUUCAUUGUUCGUUGAUUGUGAUUAUUUUAACUAGUUAA